rnacentral:lncRNA from 1 species
UCAGUCUGUCCAGACAGAGCUUGGAUUUCUGCACUUUGUCAGGUGAUUCUCAUAUAGAUAUGUCAAGCCCAUACACUGGGAAAGACCUCUUUCAGACAUUUACCACAUGUUUAAACAAAAGAGCUUUUUCUCAAAUUUGCAUACAAGCACCUAUAAUUGAUGUAAGGGUAAAAUCAGGCCGGUAGUUGAGAAAGGCAGAAGGUAACAGGAGGACAGAGAGAUAAAGAGGAGAAAGAGUAAGGAAAUAAAUAAAACCAACUAUAUUUGUGCUCUUACUUCAUGUUCCUGUUUAGUUAAAUUGGCUAGAAGAAGCCAGCAUACACAACCUGUAAAGUGAGGUGGUGGAAGUUUAGAAAAGGGAGAUUCGUGUGGGCUGUGGAAGUCUGGAACAAGAAGACGAGCCGAGAAAUAGGGAUGUCUGUGAGAAAAGGACAUAGAGUUCUCGUGAGUCAUGACAUCCGGGUCUUGAGAUCCAACCCUGCAUGGAGCAACAUGAUCAGCAUGGAGUCUGCGUGGCCCUUUCCCUCUGCUCCCCCCACCAUUCUCUCUUUCUCUCAUAAAUAAAUAAAUCUUACAAAAAAUACUGCAAUCAUUUUUACAAUGAAGUGAUUUGCUACAUCUAUAUUGCUUCAUCAUCUAAGUGUAUAAUUUAAACAAAAAAUAAACAAUACAAUGUGUUUAUAAUGAAAAGCCACUAGCCCUGGUCGCAUCCCUCUACACCAACUCUCCCACUCCUGAACUUACAUCUCCUUCUGCAAACACACAAGCAAGCUUAUUAAACCAUUUUCAUCUGGCAUUUUCCUAGUUGUUAACUUCAUAUAUCUAAAUAAUAUACUAAGUCUCUCUUUCUUGAUUUAUCUACUUUGGAAAUAGUGCACUGACUCUCCAUGAUAAUGGAAAUUUAAAUCAUUUCCACCCUACCCUGCCUCCAUUCUCCCC